rnacentral:rRNA from 1 species
CACGAACGCUGGCGGCAGGCUUAACACAUGCAAGUCGAGCGCCCCGCAAGGGGAGCGGCAGACGGGUGAGUAACGCGUGGGAAUCUACCCAUCUCUACGGAAUAACGCAUGGAAACGUGCGCUAAUACCGUAUACGUCCUUCGGGAGAAAGAUUUAUCGGAGAUGGAUGAGCCCGCGUUGGAUUAGCUAGUUGGUGGGUAAAGGCCUACCAAGGCGACGAUCCAUAGCUGGUCUGAGAGGAUGAUCAGCAACACUGGGACUGAGACACGGCCCAGACUCCUACGGGAGGCAGCAGUGGGGAAUAUUGGACAAUGGGCGCAAGCCUGAUCCAGCCAUGCCGCGUGAGUGAUGAAGGCCCUAGGGUUGUAAAGCUCUUUCACCGGUGAAGAUAAUGACGGUAACCGGAGAAGAAGCCCCGGCUAACUUCGUGCCAGCCGCCGCCGUAACAC